rnacentral:rRNA from 1 species
UGGGGAAUAUUGGACAAUGGGCGCAAGCCUGAUCCAGCCAUGCCGCGUGAGUGAUGAAGGCCCUAGGGUUGUAAAGCUCUUUCACCGGUGAAGAUAAUGACGGUAACCGGAGAAGAAGCCCCGGCUAACUUCGUGCCAGCAGCCGCGGUAAUACGAAGGGGGCUAGCGUUGUUCGGAUUUACUGGGCGUAAAGCGCACGUAGGCGGACUAUUAAGUCAGGGGUGAAAUCCCGGGGCUCAACCCCGGAACUGCCUUUGAUACUGGUAGUCUUGAGUUCGAGAGAGGUGAGUGGAAUUCCGAGUGUAGAGGUAAAAUUCGUAGAUAUUCGGAGGAACACCAGUGGCGAAGGCGGCUCACUGGCUCGAUACUGACGCUGAGGUGCGAAAGCGUGGGGAGCAAACAGG